GCGAACGUAGCUCAGUUGGUUAGAGCACAAUCUUGCCAAGAUUGAAGUCGGGUGUUCGAGUCACCUUGUUCGCU
rnacentral:tRNA from 1 species